CCUGGAUGAUUUUUCUUGCAUAUCUGAACUCCUUUUUAUAGAUGUUAGAGGAGAGAGAAUUUUAUGAUUUCACGAUAUGGGACUAAUAGAUAGGAAGUAGAUGCAUCUCCUGUGAAGAGUAAGAAUUUUGAUUCAAGUCGGUAUUCGAAUCCCUAUUAAAUUAGGUGUUCGGAUGGCUUUACAACCAUCUAAAUGGUGCUGUAGACCCGCCAGACCAAACCCGCAGACCCACCGGCUUGGAACUUGCUUCCGCGCACUUCAAAUCGGCCUGAAAUAAGCUCAAAACCCACUCCAGCACACCUGUUAGUACUUUUCCACG
rnacentral:lncRNA from 1 species